rnacentral:lncRNA from 1 species
GUCCCCAACACUCCCAAGCCUUGUCACUGUCCCUGGGCUCCUGUCCCCAACACUCCUGAGCCUUGUCACUGUCCCUGUCCCCAACACUCCUGACCCAAACACUCCUGACCCUUGUCACUGUCCCUGUCCCCUCCCUGUCCCCAACACUCCUGACCCUUGUCACUGUCCCUGGGCUCCUGUCCCCAACACUCCUGAGCCUUGUCACUGUCCCUGAGGACCCUCAUCCCAAAGUUCCCAGGGCUCCCAGCACCCCAAACUCCUUGGAUCUCUCUCCUGGAGGUUUGGGGGUUCCCCCCAGCCCCGACCCUGCUGUCCCCACAGGAGGGGCCCCCCUGAGGCCCAGGGCAGCCCCCGGCUCCCCAAGGUGCCGCGGGUGAGCCUGGAGCGCCUGGAGCUGGACUUGGAGCUGGACCCGGCGCAGCCGCCCGUGUUCCGCAUCUUCCCGGGGCCCUCGGCCGAGGAGUUCAGCGUCAUCGUCAUCGAGCAGGGGACGGCAGGGACAGCAGAGACAGCAGGGACAGCGAGGACAGCAGAGACAGAGGGGACAGAGGGGACAGCGGGGACGGCGCAGCCACACGGAGCCCUCCCUGUCAAGGAGGAGCAACAGGAGUCGCCCAUUGGGGACACUGGGGACACCAAACCCGUGGGGCUGCUUCCCCCUCCCCCACAGGAGCUGGGCCCCGUUCCGGGCUCCUCCCCUGGCCCGGGGCUCCCGGUGGUCCUGGCGGGGCUCCCGGGGGUCCCAGCGGGGCUCCCGGGGGUCCCGGCGGUCUCGUGCUGCCGCGUGUGCGGCCAGGCCGGGGCCGUGGUGAUGUGUGACCGCUGCCAGCGCUGCUUCCACCUGCACUGCCACCUGCCCGCCCUGCAGGACGUGCCCAGCCCCGAAUGGACGUGUUUGCUGUGCCAGGAGCUGCCCCCGCCCAGCCCAGAGGCAGAGCAGGGCCCUCCCCACAAGCUGAGCCCCCAGGACCAGCAGGAUCCCAAUCCCGCAGAGGUGCGAGUUCGUCCUGCUGGAGCUGCUGUGCCACGAGCCCUGCCGGCCCCUGCAGCGCCUCUCCAGCUCCUUGGACGGCCGCGACGCCAUCGACCUGACGCUGAUGCGGGCGCGGCUGCAGGAGAAGCUGAGCCCGCACUACCGCAGCCCAGAGGAGUUUGCCCGCGACGGCUGGCAGCUGCUCCGGCAGUUCCACCGCCUCACCGAGGACAAGGCGGAUGUCCAGUCCAUCCUGGGGCUGCAGCGUUUCCUCGAGAGCCGCCUGAGCGCAGUUUUUGGGGACAAGAAAUUCUCACGGCUCCUGGUGGAUCCCGAGGAACCGCUGGAGCUGUCUCCAGGCUCCUGAUCCCCCCUUCCUGGGGGGCUGAAACCCCUGCCAGGACCUCGGUAUCCCCCACCUCCCUCUCACGGUUCCGGUUUCCUCCCGGGCCCUGCCCCAGAACCUCCCAGGACCUGGGGAUGUCCCUGACCCCCGUUACCGGAGGGUCACUUGGAAAAAUAAAGCCGCGCCUCGGCCUCCUGGACCCUCCCUGGUUUCAGUGCUUGGAUUUGAUCUGGGAUUUCCUCUCCUUCGCUUCGGGCUGGAUUUGACCUGGAUCUCCGGGACCCUCCCUCGUUUAAGGGCCGCAUCCACCCCCCGUGCCCCCCGUUUUCCCUUCUGCUGCCCCACCGCUGCCAUCCAUGGCCCCUGAGUGGAACUGGGAGCUGGUGGGGUGGAGCUGGGCCUGCCCAAGCUGAGAGGGAAGGGACCGGGCCCGGUGAGGCCCCGUGGGAGGAGCUGGAGGGGAAACCGGCCCCGGUAGUGUCCCGGGCCCAAUAAAGAUGGCGGCGCCCAUGAGGGACA